rnacentral:rRNA from 1 species
GUGUCAGCCGCCGCGGUAACCCCAGCGCCACAAGUGGUGACCAUAUUUAUUGGGUCUAAAGCGUCCGUAGCCGGUUUAGUAAAUUUCUUGUGAAAUCGUUAGACUUAAUUUAACGGCGUGCAAGAAACACUGUUAAACUUGAGACCGGGAGAAGGUAAAGGUAUUUCAGGGGGAGCGGUAAAAUGUUAUAAUCCUUGAAAGACCAUCAAUGGCGAAGGCAUUUACCUAGAACGGGUCUGACGGUCAGGGACGAAAGCUAGGGGAGCAAAACGGAUUAGAUACCCCCGUAGUCC